rnacentral:rRNA from 1 species
GACGAACGCUGGCGGCGUGCCUAAUACAUGCAAGUAGAACGCUGAAGGAGGAGCUUGCUUCUCUGGAUGAGUUGCGAACGGGUGAGUAACGCGUAGGUAACCUGCCUGGUAGCGGGGGAUAACUAUUGGAAACGAUAGCUAAUACCGCAUAAGAGUAGAUGUUGCAUGACAUUUGCUUAAAAGGUGCAAUUGCAUCACUACCAGAUGGACCUGCGUUGUAUUAGCUAGUUGGUGAGGUAACGGCUCACCAAGGCAACGAUACAUAGCCGACCUGAGAGGGUGGUCGGCCACACUGGGACUGAGACACGGCCCAGACUCCUACGGGAGGCAGCAGUAGGGAAUCUUCGGCAAUGGACGGAAGUCUGACCGAGCAACGCCGCGUGAGUGAAGAAGGGUUUCGGAUCGUAAAGCUCGGUUGUAAGAGAAGAACGAGUGUGAGAGUGGAAAGUUCACACUGUGACGGUAUCUUACCAGAAAGGGACGGCUAACUACGUG